GUCUAUGUGAUGAUAUAUAUAGUCUAACCUGCCCCCUGAAUUUUUUUAAAGGCCGCAGUAUACUAACUGUGCAAAGGUAGCAUAAUAAUUAGUUUUUUAAUUGAAAACUUGAAUGAAAGGUUGGACGAAGAACAAACUUUCUUUAAUUUUAAUUUAAAAUUUUACUUUUAAGUGAAAAGGCUUAAAUAUUUUUAAAAGACGAUAAGACCCUAUAAAACUUUAUAAAAAAAAUAAUUUUUUCUUUUAUAUUGUGUUUAAAAAUCUAAAUUAUCUAAUUUUAUUAUGUUGGGGCGACAAGAAUAAAUAACUUCCAAUAAACUGUUCUUUUUUAUAAACAAAAAUAAUUGAGAUUUAAAAGAUCCUUUAAUUAAAGAUUAUAAAUUUAAGUUACUUUAGGGAUAACAGCGUAAUUUUUUUUAAGAGUCCAUAUCGAAAAAAAAGUUUACGACCUCGAUGUUGAAUUAAAAUUUCUUUAUUAGUGCAGAAGCUAUAUAAGUAAGUCUGUUCGACUUUUAAAAUUUU
rnacentral:rRNA from 1 species